rnacentral:rRNA from 1 species
AUGGUUGCCCCGCCCCGCCCCUGCUGCUUGCUAGCUGUCGGUGGUGUGUGCGCGCUGGUCGCUACUGCUGUUUGUUGCUGCUGCAGGGUUGAUGAAGAUGCUGAUUUGACAAAAGGAUCAGUGAAGCACUGGGCGAUCGAGACACUUUCUUCAUCAGAUGGUGUACUGCACGACAUACUUCCGUUAGUUGAAGAUGAUACAUGGAGUAGUGACCUAAAUAAGUUGAAGAAAAAUUCUGCAAGUUUGGUGCAUGUGCUGCUCCAAAUCUAUUGUGUGUCUGCGAGUAGCUAUUUAUUAGACGGCAAGUGUAUUGAGGUGAGCAGCAAGACGAGGCGUGAAGCAUGCCAUCAUGUGUAUGCGGCGAGCUGCUACAACACUAAUGUGGCUACUGUCGCAAAUGAACUUGGCUGGAUGCUUAAAGAAAUGUUCAACAUGAAAAAAGUUUCUUCUAUUCACCAUCUUUCCAACGAUCGUCGCGGCCCCUCCACUCCUGAACUUCUUCCGCGCCAGCGGCCUGGGAAUGCCGCUAUCCGUCCCCUCCCGGCCUUCUUCCGCGGCAGCGGCCUGGGAGCGCCCCCGCCCCUCCCCUCCCGGCCUUCUUCCGCGGAAGCGGCCUGGGAGCGAAGCCGCCCCUCCCCUCCCCGCUUUCUCCCAUGGCGGCGGCCUAGGAGCGCCACCGCCCCUCCCCUCCCGUCCUUCUUCCGCGGUGGCGGCCGGCAGCGAUGCCGCCCCUCCGCUCCCGGCGUUCUUCCGCGGCAACGGCCAAGCAGCAAUGCCCCCUGUCGCCUCUCGGCCUUCUUCCGCGGCAGCAACCGAGCAACACCUCCCUCGCUAGCAUAUCGGCCUUCUACCGCGGCAGCAGCUCGGAGGAUUGUGCGCAAGGUUCCUUCAUCCACGGCAGCUUCUUGGAUUAAGUCUGCAACGACCUUCAGAGCAAAUCCUCCAUCACCACUCACCUUGAGCAACAUCCAGACUGCUCAUGAACUUCUGAAGGGCAAGUGGACUGCACAGCCAAAGCAGUACACGCAGUACAAUAUGCCUCCAAAAAUGAUGCAGUGCGGUUACUACAGUUCGCCGUGGAAAAUAAUGCAGUGUACUUGCUCGGUUAUGCAAAGUGUAAAGCUUCUUCUGAAAGAGAUACUGGCUGGGUUACCCCUGAGAUUCCUCGAGUAUUCUUCACAAUACUCUCCGGAAGAGGGUUUUUUCCAGGAAGAAGAGGUAGUCGAAGAUGACGAUGAUGUCACCUUCGUGUGGGAGGGCACUCACCGACGGGAUGAUGAAGAUGAUGACGAUGAAGAUGAGCCAAUAACAGUUCUCAACCCACAGUAUAAGCACGAGGUCACUACAUUUCGACAUCAGGUCCGAACAGACAAUGAUGAUGAUGAUGAUGAACAUGAUGUUGCAGUAGAUGAUGAUUAUGAUUAUGAUUCUGUGCCACCGCUCCAAAAUUUUCAAACCAAUCCACUGAGAUAUCGUCACAACACUGGAUUACCACCACGUCUACCUGUUGCACCACAAAACAGAGCUCAGCGUCCACUUGCUGCACUGAAAAACAGAGCUCCAAGUAGAACUGCUGCAUCAACUUCAACAAUGCGACCACCAAGGGUACCUCGGUCAAAAGUCCACGACAGGUACAAAUCCUCCUCACUAUUGCCGCCGCGAGAUCCUCAAUUACACAGAUCUGCUAUAACUCCGCCAUGUCCAAUACAACUCGGCAAGCUGCAAACACCAUCGGGUGAACGACUCUACACACAUAUAAGUUUAUGUCCUGAAAAACUAAUAAUAUCUGCAGUCCAUUCAGAUAACAUUGUAGUGCACACUGAUAUUUCUUGUGAGGAUAAAAACAUGACGCUGAACCACAUACCUGCCGCUGGAAUGAAGUUCACCACCUACGACAAGGCAUGGGACUUUUACAACACUUAUGCAAGAUAUGCAGGGUUUGGCAUACGCAAGCGGGCAAAACACAAGACAAAUGCCUACAUUGUCUGCUCAAGAGAAGGGAUGCACAAGCAGACUGAGUCAGAUUAUGACCGGAAACGUGAGAUGACAUCAAAAAGGAUUGACUGCAAGGCAAAAAUUAGAGUCAAAAAGAGGAAGGAUGGCAAAUUUCUGAUAGAAAUGGUUGAACUCAACCACAAUCACAAGAUGCCGGAAAGCCCAGGGAUGCUUUUGCACAUGCGAUCGCACAAAAGAGACGAUCCUUUGAUGGACCAGUUGAAGAUAAACCCAGAGUUCUUCUAUGAUUAUGACGUUGAUGCAGAUAACCGUAGCACCAUAUUUGAUGUUGCCCUCGUGCGAGAUGAAAUGAUACCAUCGUUCGAGUGGGUUUUCAAAACAUUUCUGAGGUGUAUGAACAACAAGCCGCCAAUCUGCAUGCUCACAGACCAGUGUUCUUCGAUGAAGGCAGCAUUAAAAACUAUCCUCCUAGAUACACUACAUAAGUUGUGUCGGUGGCACACCAUGAAGAAGUACAAAGACCACCUUGCCUUGCUGUAUAAGGCGCACGAGAAACUCAAGGAUGACCACAAUGCGGUGCUGAACCACUCACUAAUGCCGUUAGAAUUUGAACGGGCAUGGAAGGACCUCAUCCAGAAAUACAACUUGCAAAACGACGAAGUAAUGAAUUCGCUAUGGGAUGACACGCACGAGUGGAUCUCGGCUUACUACAAGGAGAUUUUCUAUGCUUGGAUGACUUCCACGCAGAGAAGCGAGAGCAUGAACUGCAUAUUGAAGAAAAACUUUGUCAAAGAGAAGCGUGAUCUCCAUCUGUUUGCUCAGCAGGUGGACAAGUGCAUUCAGACCAGGAAGUCGGCGAGCACGUAG